AGGGAUAUAACUCAGC
rnacentral:tRNA from 1 species